rnacentral:tRNA from 1 species
GGGGACGUAGCUCAACUGGGAGAGCACCUCGUUUGCACCGAGACGGUUGCGGGUUCGACUCCCGCCGUUUCCA